AAGCUUUUGAUUUUUCUGAAUGCUUCUGUUUCUGAUAGGAUAUAUAAUGUUUCAUGGCCAUGAAAAAAUACAUGACUUUUUUAUACAUGUCAAUUCUGAUCCUUUUUUUGCUUUGAGUUACUUUAUGUGGUUCUUGUCUUUCUUUUAACCUUGAAAUUACUAUGCCAUUUGUUAUGUGUAUUUGGAUGAUGGUUUCCUCUCUGGUCAUUUCCAGAAAUGGGCUGUCUUCCUGUCAUUUGCAAAUGGUAAGAUUUCAUUGUUUCGAAAA